GGGGGCUGCGCUAGCUCCCAGAUGUGCUCCUGCGUUCGAGGGUCUGUGCUGCCCGCUGAAUACUCAUUCAUUUACGUUUUAACCAUUAUCUUCCUGACGGAUGGCUGCCAAAACUGUUGUUCCCAGAUUGGCUGCACACAAGAGCAGAGUUUUUGGGAAAUUUUAAAUAAGAGUGAUCAAAAUCCUGAAGCUAUUCUUGGAAGACUUAUGACAGGAGUUGAAACAGCUUUAUCAGUAGAAUCCUGAAGUUACGUUUUCCACAAACUUUUGGAAGUCCCCUUUUAUAAAUGGAACAGCAAACCAAAACCUGGUGAGGCAGAUGGUCAGAAGUUGUAAUUCACAGAGAUGUGAAUGCUGUUUAAUAGAAGGCCCAGGAAGGUGACAUUCACCAGGAUAUAAUAUUAUUAUUAUUAAAAUUCAGGGCAAAUGACCCAAGGGUUCAUCAACAGGUGACUGAGUAAGUAAAACAUGACAUAUACAUACAGUGGAAUGUUAUUCAGUCUUGAAAGGGAGUGAAGCACUGAUACAUACUACAAAAUGGACACAAAAGGACGUAUAUGAUUCCACUUCUAUGCAGUACCUAGAGCAGGCAAAUUCAUAGAGAUGGAAAGAAGAAUGGUUGCCAGGAGCUGGGGGAAGACAGGGAUGGAGAGUUACUUUUGUGGGUACAGCUUUCAGUUGGGGAAGAUUAGAAACUUCUAGAGAUGGACCGCAGUAAUGGUUGCACAAGGUGAACAGAGUUAAUGCCACUGAACCGUAUGUACACUUAAGAAUGGUUAAAAUGGUAAAUUUUAUGUAACAUAUAUUUGGUCACAAUAACUUAAAAAAAUAUUCAGAGCAAUUCAUAAAACCUUCCCACAGCAGAAAGCCUGAAGCUUAACUGUCCUCAGGGGCAUUCACAGAAGGAAAAUUUGCAGAGUCAAGAACGGAUUUGCAGAUUUGCACAGGGUUACAACUAUUAUUGGAAGAAAAAGAGGUGAGAUGAAAGAAACAAAGCAGGUAAAUCUAUAUGUUAAAAACAGAACAGUCUUUGUUGGUGUGGGGCUGAGAUGUGUAGAAUUUCCCACUGAAUUGAUGAAAUAUAUAGAUGAUAAUAUUGUCUGUGGAUGAGGUUCUUUUACUUUUUCUUUCCCAUCUGGAUGGUUUUUUCCUUGUUUGAUUCCACUGGAUAGAACCUUUAGAACAAUAUUGAAUAGCCUUUACUGGAAAGAACAGACAUCCUUGACACGUAUGUGAUCUGUAGAGAAUUGAGUCAUUCACCACUAAGUAUAAAGUUAACUGUGGGUUUUCUGCCAUCAUUACAUUGGGGAACUUGUCUUUUUCUAGUUUGCUGGUAAUUUUUAUCAAAAAUGGAUUUUGUAUUUUGUCAAGUACC